AAGUCGUAACAAGGUUUCCGUAGGUGAACCUGCGGAAGGAUCAUUAACAAAUCUGCUAUGGUCUAGUGCAGCAAUGUACUAGAUCACAUUGACUCGGGCUCGGUCGGCGUAACAACCGAUCGAGUCUUGAGACAUUCACGCUUGUUGUGUAUGACUGAGUUUUAUAUGUGCCUUAAACAAAGACAACUUUUAACAAUGGAUCUCUUGGCUCUU
rnacentral:misc_RNA from 1 species